GACGAACGCUGGCGGCGUGCCUAAUACAUGCAAGUCGAACGCUGAAGGAGGAGCUUGCUUCUCCGGAUGAGUUGCGAACGGGUGAGUAACGCGUAGGUAACCUGCCUGGUAGCGGGGGAUAACUAUUGGAAACGAUAGCUAAUACCGCAUAACAGUAGAUGUUGCAUGACAUUUGCUUAAAAGGUGCAAUUGCAUCACUACCAGAUGGACCUGCGUUGUAUUAGCUAGUUGGUGAGGUAACGGCUCACCAAGGCGACGAUACAUAGCCGACCUGAGAGGGGGAUGGCCCACAUGGGGACUGGACAAGGGCCAGGAUUCUUCCGGAAGGAGCAGGAAGGGAAUCUUCGGAAAUGGAGGGAGGUCUGACCGGGAACCGCGGCGUGAGUGAAGAAGGUUUUGGGAUCGUAAGGCUCGGUUGUAGAGAAGAACGAGUGUGAGAGUGGAAAGUUCACACUGUGACGGUAUCUUACCAGAAAGGGACGGCUAACUACGUG
rnacentral:rRNA from 1 species